GAUGAACGCUGGCGGCGUGCCUAAUACAUGCAAGUCGAGCGAACGGACGAGAAGCUUGCUUCUCUGAUGUUAGCGGCGGACGGGUGAGUAACACGUGGAUAACCUACCUAUAAGACUGGGAUAACUUCGGGAAACCGGAGCUAAUACCGGAUAAUAUUUUGAACCGCAUGGUUCAAAAGUGAAAGACGGUCUUGCUGUCACUUAUAGAUGGAUCCGCGCUGCAUUAGCUAGUUGGUAAGGUAACGGCUUACCAAGGCAACGAUGCAUGGCCGACCUGAGAGGGUGAUCGGCCACACUGGAACUGAGACACGGCCCAGACUCCUACGGGAGGCAGCAGUAGGGAAUCUUCCGCAAUGGGCGAAAGCCUGACGGAGCAACGCCGCGUGAGUGAUGAAGGUCUUCGGAUCGUAAAACUCUGUUAUUAGGGAAGAACAUAUGUGUAAGUAACUGUGCACAUCUUGACGGUACCUAAUCAGAAAGCCACGGCUAACUACGUG
rnacentral:rRNA from 1 species